rnacentral:tRNA from 1 species
GCCGGCGUGGCUCAGGGGCAGAGCAGCUGAUUCGUAAUCAGCGGGUCGUAGGUUCGAUUCCUAUCGCCGGCUCCA